CAAGCAGUGCCAGGACACGAAGAAGCUGCAUCAGGUCCUCCUGCUCAGAGAGCGAGCGCAGUGCGCUCUGCUGACACCCAGGAAUGAACGACACAAGGAGGGACAGGGACUAAAACUAGAGUUGAUGUGCCUCAAGUGUGGGUCCAUUAAGGGAUAGCGCACAGCUGAGCGCAGGUGUUGUUGUAGUGACCGCUCGGAACAAAGCAAGGAUUUGGGAUGCUGCGGUUCCUGACCUCGCGCACCUCGCGGUCCCCCCAGCAUCGCUGGUACCUCGCCAGGUUUUUACAUCAAGAGAAU
rnacentral:lncRNA from 1 species